rnacentral:rRNA from 1 species
GAUGAACGCUGGCGGCGUGCCUAAUACAUGCAAGUCGAGCGAACAGACGAGGAUCUUGCUCCUCUGACGUUAGCGGCGGACGGGUGAGUAACACGUGGAUAACCUACCUAUAAGACUGGGAUAACUUCGGGAAACCGGAUCUAAUACCGGAUAAUAUAUUGAACCGCAUGGUUCAAUAGUGAAAGACGGUUUUGCUGUCACUUAUAGAUGGAUCCGCGCCGCAUUAGCUAGUUGGUAAGGUAACGGCCUACCAAGGCGACGAUGCGUAGCCGACCUGAGAGGGUGAUCGGCCACACUGGAACUGAGACACGGCCCAGACUCCUACGGGAGGCAGCAGUAGGGAAUCUGCGGCAAUGGGCGCAAGCCUGACGCAGCAACGCCGCGUGAGUGAAGAAGGCCUUCGGAUCGUAAAGCUCUGUUAGUGGGGAAGAAAAAAUGUGUAAGUAAAUAUGGACUGCUUGACGGUACCUGCUCAGAAAGCAACGGCUAACUACGUG